CCUCGGCCUCCCAAAGUGCUGGGAUUACAGGCAAAAUAAACUUUAUAAAUUAACUGAGACCCGUCUCAGAUUUUCUGGGUUUACACUGGGGACCUCUGGCUGCUCACCAGGCAGUUCCUGACUGGACCUGGGUCCCAUAGGUGACCACCCCAGACUUGGCCAGCCCCCAUGGAGCUCACAGUCUACACACGGAACAAUGACACCGGAAACAAUAUCAUUACAAACAUGAUCGGUGGGCCAGGGCUUCUUCCAGAGGUGGCCAGAGACCCACCCCUGGCUCUGACUGCUGCGGGGAAGCCGUAGGGGAGGGCCUCUUGGAGGGCAGGUGAUCUGGACAGAGGGACCAACGUGUGCAAAAGCCCUGUGGGGGCAGAUGCUGAGAAAUAAGACACACAGGAAGGUGGAGGCCUGAUGGGACCUGUCAUAUGGAGAGGGGACUCAUUCCCUUGGCAGUGGCCAUGCCUGGUGCAGGGCCCAGAAAGAAGUCAGAGCUGGCAUCUGGGGCCAGGUAGCUGGCAUGCACAUCUCAUCUGAGCCUCACAGCUAUUAUUAUUACCCAGUUGGAAGGACAGGGAAACCGAGGCUCCCAGAGACGACUUGAUUUGCCCUCCUCACAGCCUCAGUGCGAGGAGGGAGGCCCCCCAGCCCCUCUCCUCACACCAGCCUUGUGACACCAUGUGCCAAUGUGUGCCUCGUGCCUUUCACUGUCUUCUCAACAUCUUCCUGCAGCUUCCAGACUUUCUAAAUGCGAAUGUAGUAUUUAUAACCCAGCGUGGGCUCUGCCCCUGGGUCCUUCGCUGCACCUCCACUCCCUU
rnacentral:lncRNA from 1 species